rnacentral:rRNA from 1 species
AGAGUUUGAUCCUGGCUCAGAGCGAACGCUAGCGGCGGGCUUAACACAUGCAAGUCUAAAGGGAAUUUAUUCCCUUGGCGGACGGGUGAGUAACACGUAGAUUACCUACCCUGAACUCGUGAAUAACCCUUAGAAAUUUGGAAUAAUACACGAUAUGGCACUUUGUGCUGAAAGAUUUAUCGGUUCAGGACGGGUCUGCGGCCCAUUAGCUUGUUGGUGAGGUAACGGCUCACCAAGGCUGCGAUGGGUAGCUGGUCUGAGAGGAUGAUCAGCCACACUGGGACUGAGACACGGCCCAGACUCCUACGGGAGGCAGCAGUGGGGAAUAUUGGACAAUGGGCGAAAGCCUGAUCCAGCUAUGCCGCGUGUAUGAUGAAGGCCUUAGGGUUGUAAAGUACUGUUGUAGGGGAAGAAACAAAUGACGGUACCCUAUGUAGAAAGCGCC